AGGGCACCACCAGGAGUGGAGCCUGCGGCUUAAUUUGACUCAACACGGGAAAACUCACCCGGCCCGGACACCGUAAGGAUUGACAGACUGAGAGCUCUUUCUUAAUUCGGUGGGUGGUGGUGCAUGGCCGUUCUUAGUUGGUGGAGCGAUUUGUCUGGUUAAUUCCGAUAACGAACGAGACUCUGGCCUAUUAAAUAGUCGGUAUAUCCAGAAAGGUUUACCGUACUUCUUAGAGGGACAAACGGCGUCUAGCCGCGUGAAAUAGAGCAAUAACAGGUCUGUGAUGCCCUUAGAUGUCCGGGGCUGCACGCGCGCUACACUGAAAGAAUCAGUAUGCGCUUUAACCUAGUCCGGAAGGAUUGGGUAACCCGAGCAAAUUCUUUCGUGCUUGGGAUAGGGAAUUGCAAUUAUUUCCCUUAAACGAGGAAUUCCCAGUAAAUGCGGGUCAUAAGCUCGCGUUGAUUACGUCCCUGCCCUUUGUACACACCGCCCGUCGCUACUACCGAUUGGAUGACUUAG
rnacentral:rRNA from 1 species